AAAAAGAGCGCAUGUCCGGGGUGGGGGUCCCGCAAAGCUUUGUGGGAAAUGGAGUCCUUGUCGGGUGGAUUCUGGGAGUCGUAGUUCCGCCUGGUCCCUCCGCGCAGGCGCAUUUCUGUUCUCACGUCGCGUCUUCCAGCGCUCGGCGGCGCCGGAAAGAGACGUGUUCACUGGUGUGUGGGUGGCCUCUGACCUGCGGUGGGUCAGGGUUUGUCCUGUGGGGAGGAGUCCCGAGGUGGAACGUGACAGACCGACUUGGGGCCUCUGUCAGUUACAAUUGUUAAUUGUAAUCGGGCAAUUACAGCACAAGUGAUAAUCUCCGAGAUGCGGGAUGUAGGAGCAGCGUGUAAGGGCCUGGAGGACGAGGUUUCGGAGCCGAAACAUUGGGGUGUGGCUUAGGACCAGGCCGUGGGGCGACGUGUUUAAAGCCCGGGGCCUCUAGAGCUCAGAGUCCCCAGUGAGCAAGGCCGCCGCUAUGAAAGGACUCUCGAGUCGCACAGAGGAGGCGUACAAAAAUGCAUCAGCAACUACCAUCUGCUGACAGCCCCUUCAGACUUGUACUAUUGCAAGAGAGGGUGCGCCCACUCUCGUCUGGACUGCUCCAUCUGUUCAGAAGGCUUCCUAAAGAGUCAGAGACUCUAACACAAGCGUCCCUGCCUCUCCUGCCGUAGUCUUUAUGAGUUCUAAAACAAGGAAUUACUCAAAUCUUCCAAAUAUUUAAUUCUGCUGUCACUACAAAGACCCUCAAGUAGGCUUAAUAGCAAUAUUGGAUUAAGUUCUUCAAUUCUUUCUUUCUUUUUUUAUUGAAGUAAAGUUGAUUUACAAUGUUGUAUUAAUUUCUGGUGUAUAGCAUAAUC